UUGUCGCAGGAGCGGUGGCACC
rnacentral:miRNA from 1 species